AAGGACGCCUUACCAACAAAUUAUUCAAUGCCAACAAAAAAUAAUUCAAUAUAUAUUAUUUGAGGUAUAAUCUAUCGGCAAUCAUUAAUAAAAGACAAACUUCAAUAGAUAAUAGCGUCUUUUCUCUCAAAAUAUUGUUUUUAUUUGGAAAAUGCGGCAAGAACUUCAAAAACGUGGUUGCCUUCUAGAAGAUUAGUUUUUUGGUGGCUCACAUCCAUUCCACGUACCUUAUUAAUUUAGGUCGACUUAUGAACUUUUGUAUGGUAAAGAUUCACUAAAACCUAAUAAAAUUCAAGUUUCUAACACCUUUUCUUUUUCUGUCUUAUUUUGUUGAUUUCAUAAAAGUCAAUCCUAAUACUUUUUCUGGAUUAGUUGGUGGCUAAAUCAUGAAGAAAUUUUAGAUAAUUUUUCUGUGAUCAUUAAACUUUUGCUAUUGAAGCUGUCCAACCAGUAGGUUUAAUUGUGCAGCCAGGCUGUGUUUUGAAGAACGCAAAAUUCUUCUUAUCCAAAAAAGUAAAUAAUUAUAAGGCUUGCAUCAGUCAUUCAAUAAUGAGUAUAUGCAAAUAAAAAAAUUGUGCAUUCACCUUUUAAAUUCAUACAUUUUAAGCAUAUAUAAUUGCUCGAGCUUGUAUCAGUUGUGACUCGGUUUCCACUCUUAAAAUCUUCGGUCAUGGAUUCUUGUAAUAGCCUGAAAUCAUACAAAGGUCUUUUACAUUUUUUUUUUCUUUGAUAGUAUUCCUUGAUGAAUUGUAAUCAGCAGUUUCAAAUGCCUGGAAGGAUAUAAACGAACAGUGCCUCCGCCAAAAUGCAGUGCCAAUGUCACUCCUUAAUUAUGCCAAUUCUCACUUUUAAGAUGGCUACACUAAUACUGAAAGAUUUUGUUGCUUCUCUGCUCAUUAAUCCUGUGCCUACAGAGCAUAAUAGACUCAAGCUUAGUGUUUUUCGACUUCGUCCCUGCUUAAUAACCCUGAUGCCAUUAUGAGCUUGGAUUUGGGUUUUUGUUUCUAAAAAUUGAAAGGUGGUCAUCCCACAUUGUAAGCACACCAUAAAUAGCUAAGUUAUAAACUUACAAUAAAUAAUAGAGUUAUUGGUACUACGUAAUUUAUCUAUUUUAAUUUGUAGUCUUUAAUUAAAAUAAAUAAAACGUAAUUCUUAUAGCAAUAUUUUGUGAAACAGAAAUAUUGAAACUAUUGGGCUUCUUUCAACAAACUUGCAUGAUAUAUGUCACAAACAAAAUAGUUGAAAUAUUAUGGCGCAUGCAAUAGCAAUAGCACACAUUUGUUGGGCAAUUUGAUCCUUUUCCAUAGGAAGGGUAAAAUAGUUAAAUUAAAAUUUAUCUUCACAUGAAAAAAUUAAGAGCUAAGAACAAAAUCAAGAUUAAAAGGAUGAAAAUUUUAUGAUGUCGUGAUUAAAAUUACGGUAUCAAUACCAUGAUAAGUAUAAAUUUUAUAAAUUACACAUAAGACCAAUGAAUGGAAGGUAAAACAAAGAAACUAAUAUAAGAAUGGUAAAUUGGUGUUUUAUAAUUACAAGCAAAAUAAAUGCUUGUGAAAAUUACAAGAAACUUAUAAAUAGACAUCAAACUUUAAUUAAAUAAAUAAUUAUUUAUUUAUUUAUUUGAUUUAAUUAAAUAAAAAAUUACUCAUCAAUUUACUUUUAAUUGAUUGACAUUGAAUCAUAAAUUGAUUGAUAUAGAAAGUUUUAAUUAAUUGAUAUUGAAACAUGAGUCCAGGCCAAAUAAAUGUAAUUGAUUAAUUUCCUUUUACAUGAUUCAUUACUAUCUUUCUGAAAAGUUGUCACUGUAGUUUUGGAGGUCAAAGAAACAAGCAACAAAAUGUUUCAACUUUGGCAGGCCACAGAUUGGAAAUCGACUACAGUAAGCCUUUUGAUACCCCUCAAAAGUCAAAAUUCCUCAUAAAAUCAACUAGAAUAAGCUUUUUGAAGCCUUUCAUUUUCCGAAAUUUAUUGCACUAUUCCUCUUCCGUUGUGCCAAUAAAUUCUUAAGCCUAAAGCCAGGAACUAUAGAAUCAAAUUUUAGCACGUCGGGACAUUAAGUCACGCCGAAACGGACAUUAUUUUAUCUGUUUUUUUGAAAAAAAAAAUUUACUCCCACAAUUAUAUACAACUUUAUAAGAAGACUCAAAGUCGAUAUUAAAAAAAAAAAAAGACAAGUAUCAACCAACUAAAUUAAGCUGACGAGUGGUUUGCUUCUUUUUUCUUUUUAAGAACCACAGGGAAAUUGGAAGAAAAAAAAAACGUGCAAGUAGUUAGCGGAUGUAAUAAUGAGCCUUAUCCUUUAAAUGAAGUCCCCCUAAGUUACAUGCAUGUAACUUACAACCCUCUCAUAUGAAUAGUGAGUGGACCUACACCAUUCACUAUUCAUAUGAAAAUGUUGUAAGUUACAUGCAUGUAUUUUAGCAUUAGCCUUAAAUGAAACAUGGAACCAUACUCUCAAAGCAAAGCCACCAUACAAGAUAUCCCAAAAACAACAAAAAGUGAAACCAACUAAACAAAUAUUGAUAAUAUUCCAUUAGCCAAAGUACUUACAAUUCCAGCAAACCAAAAAGCUUAGCCGUUAAUGCGCAUUGUCGCCAUUAGUUUAAGUUGGAAAAUGAGCAAAUGUUGGUGUUUAAUGGAUGAGGUUUCUUAUUCCCCUCCAAACCAUAAAAAAGAAUAAAGUAUUAGUGGAGAAAUUAAAGAAAAAAAUUAGAUAAUAAGCUAACAUUGUCACAAAUUUAGAAGCUGAGUUAAAAAAU
rnacentral:lncRNA from 1 species